UUAUCUUUGAUUCUUCGGAUGAAGAGGUUUGUGACUGAGUGGCGGACGGGUGAGUAACGCGUGGGUAACCUGCCUCAUACAGGGGGAUAACAGUUAGAAAUGACUGCUAAUACCGCAUAAGACCACGGAGCCGCAUGGCUCCGUGGGAAAAACUCCGGUGGUAUGAGAUGGACCCGCGUCUGAUUAGGUAGUUGGUGGGGUAACGGCCUACCAAGCCGACGAUCAGUAGCCGACCUGAGAGGGUGACCGGCCACAUUGGGACUGAGACACGGCCCAAACUCCUACGGGAGGCAGCAGUGGGGAAUAUUGCACAAUGGGGGAAACCCUGAUGCAGCGACGCCGCGUGAGCGAAGAAGUAUUUCGGUAUGUAAAGCUCUAUCAGCAGGGAAGAAAAUGACGGUACCUGACUAAGAAGCACCGGCUAAAUACGUGCCAGCAGCCGCGGUAAUACGUAUGGUGCAAGCGUUAUCCGGAUUUACUGGGUGUAAAGGGAGCGUAGACGGCUGUGUAAGUCUGAAGUGAAAGCCCGGGGCUCAACCCCGGGACUGCUUUGGAAACUAUGCAGCUAGAGUGUCGGAGAGGUAAGUGGAAUUCCCAGUGUAGCGGUGAAAUGCGUAGAUAUUGGGAGGAACACCAGUGGCGAAGGCGGCUUACUGGACGAUGACUGACGUUGAGGCUCGAAA
rnacentral:rRNA from 1 species